rnacentral:rRNA from 1 species
UACGUAGGGUGCAAGCGUUGUCCGGAAUUAUUGGGCGUAAAGAGCUUGUAGGCGGUUUGUCGCGUCUGCUGUGAAAUUUCGGGGCUCAACCCCGAACUUGCAGUGGGUACGGGCAGACUAGAGUGUGGUAGGGGAGACUGGAAUUCCUGGUGUAGCGGUGAAAUGCGCAGAUAUCAGGAGGAACACCGAUGGCGAAGGCAGGUCUCUGGGCCGUAACUGACGCUGAGACGCGAAAGCGUGGGGAGCAAACAGG